rnacentral:rRNA from 1 species
UUAAGCGACUAAGCGUACACGGUGGAUGCCCUGGCAGUCAGAGGCGAUGAAGGACGUGCUAAUCUGCGAUAAGCGUCGGUAAGGUGAUAUGAACCGUUAUAACCGGCGAUUUCCGAAUGGGGAAACCCAGUGUGUUUCGACACACUAUCAUUAACUGAAUCCAUAGGUUAAUGAGGCGAACCGGGGGAACUGAAACAUCUAAGUACCCCGAGGAAAAGAAAUCAACCGAGAUUCCCCCAGUAGCGGCGAGCGAACGGGGAGCAGCCCAGAGCCUGAAUCAGUGUGUGUGUUAGUGGAAGCGUCUGGAAAGGCGCGCGAUACAGGGUGACAGCCCCGUACACAAAAAUGCACAUGCUGUGAGCUCGAUGAGUAGGGCGGGACACGUGGUAUCCUGUCUGAAUAUGGGGGGACCAUCCUCCAAGGCUAAAUACUCCUGACUGACCGAUAGUGAACCAGUACCGUGAGGGAAAGGCGAAAAGAACCCCGGCGAGGGGAGUGAAAAAGAACCUGAAACCGUGUACGUACAAGCAGUGGGAGCACGCUUAGGCGUGUGACUGCGUACCUUUUGUAUAAUGGGUCAGCGACUUAUAUUCUGUAGCAAGGUUAACCGAAUAGGGGAGCCGAAGGGAAACCGAGUCUUAACUGGGCGUUAAGUUGCAGGGUAUAGACCCGAAACCCGGUGAUCUAGCCAUGGGCAGGUUGAAGGUUGGGUAACACUAACUGGAGGACCGAACCGACUAAUGUUGAAAAAUUAGCGGAUGACUUGUGGCUGGGGGUGAAAGGCCAAUCAAACCGGGAGAUAGCUGGUUCUCCCCGAAAGCUAUUUAGGUAGCGCCUCGUGAAUUCAUCUCCGGGGGUAGAGCACUGUUUCGGCAAGGGGGUCAUCCCGACUUACCAACCCGAUGCAAACUGCGAAUACCGGAGAAUGUUAUCACGGGAGACACACGGCGGGUGCUAACGUCCGUCGUGAAGAGGGAAACAACCCAGACCGCCAGCUAAGGUCCCAAAGUCAUGGUUAAGUGGGAAACGAUGUGGGAAGGCCCAGACAGCCAGGAUGUUGGCUUAGAAGCAGCCAUCAUUUAAAGAAAGCGUAAUAGCUCACUGGUCGAGUCGGCCUGCGCGGAAGAUGUAACGGGGCUAAACCAUGCACCGAAGCUGCGGCAGCGACGCUUAUGCGUUGUUGGGUAGGGGAGCGUUCUGUAAGCCUGUGAAGGUGUGCUGUGAGGCAUGCUGGAGGUAUCAGAAGUGCGAAUGCUGACAUAAGUAACGAUAAAGCGGGUGAAAAGCCCGCUCGCCGGAAGACCAAGGGUUCCUGUCCAACGUUAAUCGGGGCAGGGUGAGUCGACCCCUAAGGCGAGGCCGAAAGGCGUAGUCGAUGGGAAACAGGUUAAUAUUCCUGUACUUGGUGUUACUGCGAAGGGGGGACGGAGAAGGCUAUGUUGGCCGGGCGACGGUUGUCCCGGUUUAAGCGUGUAGGCUGGUUUUCCAGGCAAAUCCGGAAAAUCAAGGCUGAGGCGUGAUGACGAGGCACUACGGUGCUGAAGCAACAAAUGCCCUGCUUCCAGGAAAAGCCUCUAAGCAUCAGGUAACAUCAAAUCGUACCCCAAACCGACACAGGUGGUCAGGUAGAGAAUACCAAGGCGCUUGAGAGAACUCGGGUGAAGGAACUAGGCAAAAUGGUGCCGUAACUUCGGGAGAAGGCACGCUGAUAUGUAGGUGAAGUCCCUCGCGGAUGGAGCUGAAAUCAGUCGAAGAUACCAGCUGGCUGCAACUGUUUAUUAAAAACACAGCACUGUGCAAACACGAAAGUGGACGUAUACGGUGUGACGCCUGCCCGGUGCCGGAAGGUUAAUUGAUGGGGUUAGCCGCAAGGCGAAGCUCUUGAUCGAAGCCCCGGUAAACGGCGGCCGUAACUAUAACGGUCCUAAGGUAGCGAAAUUCCUUGUCGGGUAAGUUCCGACCUGCACGAAUGGCGUAAUGAUGGCCAGGCUGUCUCCACCCGAGACUCAGUGAAAUUGAACUCGCUGUGAAGAUGCAGUGUACCCGCGGCAAGACGGAAAGACCCCGUGAACCUUUACUAUAGCUUGACACUGAACAUUGAGCCUUGAUGUGUAGGAUAGGUGGGAGGCUUAGAAGUGUGGACGCCAGUCUGCAUGGAGCCGACCUUGAAAUACCACCCUUUAAUGUUUGAUGUUCUAACGUUGACCCGUAAUCCGGGUUGCGGACAGUGUCUGGUGGGUAGUUUGACUGGGGCGGUCUCCUCCUAAAGAGUAACGGAGGAGCACGAAGGUUGGCUAAUCUGGUCGGACAUCAGGAGGUUAGUGCAAUGGCAUAAGCCAGCUUGACUGCGAGCGUGACGGCGCGAGCAGGUGCGAAAGCAGGUCAUAGUGAUCCGGUGGUUCUGAAUGGAAGGGCCAUCGCUCAACGGAUAAAAGGUACUCCGGGGAUAACAGGCUGAUACCGCCCAGAGUUCAUAUCGACGGCGGUGUUUGGCACCUCGAUGUCGGCUCAUCACAUCACGGGGCUGAAGUAGGUCCCAAGGGUAUGGCUGUUCGCCAUUUAAAGUGGUACGCGAGCUGGGUUUAGAACGUCGUGAGACAGUUCGGUCCCUAUCUGCCGUGGGCGCUGGAGAACUGAGGGGGGCUGCUCCUAGUACGAGAGGACCGGAGUGGACGCAUCACUGGUGUUCGGGUUGUCAUGCCAAUGGCACUGCCCGGUAGCUAAAUGCGGAAGAGAUAAGUGCUGAAAGCAUCUAAGCACGAAACUUGCCCCGAGAUGAGUUCUCCCUGACUCCUUGAGAGUCCUGAAGGAACGUUGAAGACGACGACGUUGAUAGGCCGGGUGUGUAAGCGCAGCGAUGCGUUGAGCUAACCGGUACUAAUGAACCGUGAGGCUUAACCU